rnacentral:snRNA from 1 species
AUCCUUACCUGGAGCCGGGCCCUCGUCGAUCACCGAGGAUGAGCCCCCAGGGCGAGGUGCGGGCAUUGCACUGCGCUCGCGUUGAUCCCUGCCCCUACUCCGAACUGGGGCAGAUGGGACAUGCAAAUUGC